GACGAACGCUGGCGGCGUGCUUAACACAUGCAAGUCGAACGGAAAGGCCCUGCUUUUGUGGGGUGCUCGAGUGGCGAACGGGUGAGUAACACGUGAGUAACCUGCCCUUGACUUUGGGAUAACUUCAGGAAACUGGGGCUAAUACCGGAUAGGAGCUCCUGCUGCAUGGUGGGGGUUGGAAAGUUUCGGCGGUUGGGGAUGGACUCGCGGCUUAUCAGCUUGUUGGUGGGGUAGUGGCUUACCAAGGCUUUGACGGGUAGCCGGCCUGAGAGGGUGACCGGCCACAUUGGGAGUGAGACACGGCCCAGACUCCUACGGGGGGCAGCAGUGGGGAAUAUUGCACAAUGGGCGGAAGCCUGAUGCAGCAACGCCGCGUGCGGGAUGACGGCCUUCGGGUUGUAAACCGCUUUCGCCUGUGACGAAGCGUGAGUGACGGUAAUGGGUAAAGAAGCACCGGCUAACUACGUG
rnacentral:rRNA from 1 species